rnacentral:rRNA from 1 species
AAUAGAUACCCCGGUAGUCCACGCCGUAAACGAUGAGUGCUAAGUGUUAGGAGGGUUUCCGCCCUUUAGUGCUGCAGCAAACGCAUUAAGCACUCCGCCUGGGGAGUACGGUCGCAAGACUGAAACUCAAAGGAAUUGACGGGGGCCCGCACAAGCGGUGGAGCAUGUGGUUUAAUUCGAAGCAACGCGAAGAACCUUACCAGGUCUUGACAUCCUUAUGCCAUCUCUAGAGAUAGAGCUUUCCCUUCGGGGACAUAAGUGACAGGUGGUGCAUGGUUGUCGUCAGCUCGUGUCGUGAGGUGUUGGGUUAAGUCCCGCAACGAGCGCAACCCUUGAUCUUAGUUGCCAGCAUUCAGUUGGGCACUCUAAGGUGACUGCCGGUGACAAACCGGAGGAAGGUGGGGAUGACGUCAAAUCAUCAUGCCCCUUAUGACCUGGGCUACACACGUGCUACAAUGGGAUGGUACAAAGGGACAGCGAAACCGACGAGGUUAAGCCAAUACCCAUAAAACCAAUUCUCAGUUCGGUAUUGCAGGC